rnacentral:rRNA from 1 species
GACGAACGCUGGCGGCGUGCUUAACACAUGCAAGUCGAACGGAAAGGCCCUGCUUUUGUGGGGUGCUCGAGUGGCGAACGGGUGAGUAACACGUGAGUAACCUGCCCUUGACUUUGGGAUAACUUCAGGAAACUGGGGCUAAUACCGGAUAGGAGCUCCUGCUGCAUGUUGUGGGUUGGAAAGUUUCGGCGGUUGGGGAUGGACUCGCGGCUUAUCAGCUUGUUGGUGGGGUAGUGGCUUACCAAGGCUUUGACGGGUAGCCGGCCUGAGAGGGUGACCGGCCACAUUGGGACUGAGAUACGGCCCAGACUCCUACGGGAGGCAGCAGGGGGGAAUAUUGCACAAUGGGCGGAAGCCUGAUGCAGCAACGCCGCGUGCGGGAUGACGGCCUUCGGGUUGUAAACCGCUUUCGACUGUGACGAAGCGUGAGUGACGGUAAUGGGUAAAGAAGCACCGGCUAACUACGUG